GAAUUGCAACCCUCUGCAUGCACAGUGCACUCUUCCAUCACAUAAGGUGAAUGCACCAAUUUGUAAGUCGCUCUGGAUAAGAGCGUCUGCUAAAUGACUUAAAUGUAAAUGUGCAUGCACUCUUCCAUCACAUGUGCAGUGCACUCUUCCAUCACAUGUGCAGUGCACUCUUCCAUCACAUGUGCAGUGCACUCUUCCAUCACAUGUGCAGUGCACUCUUCCAUCACAUGUGCAGCUGAUUCUCAAGAUCUUGCACACUAAUGAGAUGCUAUUGAGCUCACACUUCUACACUGUGAGCCAAGGACAACCUGCUUUCUGGGAAGUUUUGAUUAAUACCUGGGUGGGGUGAAUACAUUUAAUAUGACAUUAUUUUUUGUUAACUAAUAAAUAGUAGCCUACAGCAAAGUGUGUUUAAAUAAUUUCUAACUUGUUAACAAUUUCUGCUAGUUAGUUUAUGCUACCAUGUGGGUUUUAGCUUGCUUGCGCCUGCUAACUGAGGAGUGUUAAUUCACAAAAUAUAUAGCCUCAUAAUUCAGUUUUCAAAGACCCCAAGUAGGCAUAUAAGAUUUAAAAUAUGUGACUUUUUUCAGGAAACUAGACAUGUGUUGUGCGUCACCACUUCACAGGAGAGACAUUUGAACAUAAAAGCUUUUUUUCUUAAUCAAAAUGCUUUUUUGGCAGAAAUGCCUUCUGGAACAUUUGAGCUUUCAUGUGCCUUAAUAGCAAACUUGUAUGCCAUCUGUAAAUACAAAUAAAAAGGUUAAAUUACGAGCCUAGUUGGUUUAGCCACAGAAAAUGACAGCAAACUUCCCGCUAGCUAUGAUUGGCUGAGAUAACGAUUGGGCUGGACAUCCCGAGAGACAUGUUUGGAUUGGUCUGCCAUGUAGCACGCUUCUGGCUAUAAUAUGAGCUGGUCAGUAUGUGCAGGUAAUCCUUUCUAACACUUUCUUGUUUAAAGAUAUCACAUAGUAAAACUGCAUAAGUGUUGCUCUCCACUUUCCAGAUGACCGAUUUUUGAAAUCAGUGGAAUUAGAAUAUGAUAGUUAAGGAGAUGAUUGCAAAUAUGCAGACUGAGUCAGAAACAGAACACACAGAAGGCUGUUGGAAACACCUGUCUCCAGAUUACAUCUUCAAACUAAGGGCCACCAUGUCAUCAGUAAGUCUAGCCAGCUACAUUUAAUUGUCAGAAUGUAAUUUCAAUUUCAAGUUAAAGUGUACUGUUAGCUAGCUAAUGUUACAUGUAUGAUCUGUGUAGUAAUAUUAUUCGUAUCUCAGGGUCAUUUGCAUUUCUAGUUACAGUCUAAUGUUAGCUAGCUAACAUUGAACAUGGUUGGUUAGCUACCUGCAGAUUCAUGCAGGGUAGUAACGUUAUGAGUUGGGAUUAUGGUUCAUUGUUUAGCUAGCUAGCUACAUGUCUAAACAAAAUUCUCCGCUGUGCAAGUAUCCAUUUCAAUAGAAUGUUAUGUCACUGCGACAACUGUCGAUAGCCGUAGCUGGUAAAUUUGCUCUGGCUAUCUACUCCAAUUUCAGAGCACUCUCGUCGGAGUGUGCCAGAGCGCAGAAUAAGUGACACGUUUACGAGCGCGUCACCCGGCAUCAGUAAACGUUGGCAAAAAAAAGCAUAAUUAAAUUGUUGCCAGCAGCAGUUACCAACGCUCUGGGUAACAUAAAAAAACCUCACCGGCUCUGCUAGGGCAAGUAAAAUGGUCAGAGUGAGCGGUUCUCUCAUUUGUGUAUGGAAGUAGCUAGCAAGCUAGUCAACAUUAGCUUGGGUGCUUGUCUGCUGUUAGGUCAAAACGCUCAGAUCAACCCUACUUUUCAGCCAGAGCGUCCAAAACGUUCCGAGGGGGAAACGCUCUGAAUUUACGACUGGUCAAAUUGACAACGUUCUGUGUUAGUGAACACUCCAGAUUAAAUGUACAAACCCACCCGUAGUAUAAACCAGAUUUGAUUUUUCAGCGAUGGGUGGGGCUAAAACUUAAGGGUGUGAACGAUGCUGAACGUGUGUAGACAAAGAACUCUCCUGUGGAUACCAAAAUAUUAAAGGGCCAUUUCCUCAAACUGGCAUGCUGCUUUAAUACCAACUUGUUUCAAGCAGACCACCAUAGUCCCCGUGCCCAAUAAUGCCAAAGUAACCUGCCUAAAUGACUAUCGCACGGUAGCACUCACAUCUAUAGCCAUGAAAUGCUUUGAAAGGCUGGUCAUGGUUCAUAUCAGCACCAUCAUCCCAGACACCCUGGACCCACUCCAAUUAGCAUACCGCCCAAACAGAUCCACAGAUGACGCAAUCUCUAUUGCACUCCACAAUGCCCUCACCCACAUUGACAAAAGGAAUAAUUAUGUAAGAAUGCUGUUCAUUGACAGCUUAGCAUUCAACACCAUAGUCUCCUCCAAGCUCAUCACCAAGCUCAGGACCCUGGAACUGAACAGCCCCCUCUGCAACUGGAUCCUGGACUUCAGGCAGUGAGGGCAGGUAAUCAUCCAUCACACUGACCAUCGCCAUGGGGGCCCCUCAGGGGUGUGUACUCAGUCCUCUCCUGUACAUCCUGUUCACCCACAAUUGCGUUUACGCGCAUGGCUCCAUGACGUGUUAGGACUGAUCACCAAAGCCGAUGAGGCAGCCUAUAGGGAGGAGCUCCGAGACCUGGCAGUGUGGUGCCAGGACAACAACCUCUCCAUCAACUUCAGCAAAACAAAGGAGCUGAUCGUGGACUACAGAGGGCCCAAAACAUGGUCAAAUACUCCAUCCACCCAAGCCAUAGACUGUUCUCUCUGCUACUGCAAGUGGUACCAGUGGACAAGUCUGGAACCAACAGGACCGUGAACAGCUUCUACCCAUAAGCUACUAAACAAGACGUCUAAAUAACUAAUCAAAUAGCUACCCUGGACUACAUAUAUUGACCCUUUUUUGAUCUACCUCUCUUACACGGACUCUGGGCACACACACUGGACUCUACACUCACACAUACUUACACUGACACCCCAACACACACACACACACUACAUAUGCUCACACCACACACACACUCUCACAACAUACGCUGCUGCUACUGCUCAGUCUUAUCUAUCCAGUUGCCAAGUCACGAAGCAUGUGACAAUUUUAUUUUAUUUUAUCGUCAAAUGUCCGAGGUGCAAUCUACUGUUUCACAUGGCACUCUAUCCCCGCUCUUCUAAAGAGAAAGUGACCUAUUUUUUUUAGUUUAGGGAGGCGACAGAGCGCUGUUUAAUCUAGAGCUUAGACAUACAGUAACUAACCCAGGGAAAUACUGGUAACUGGGUUAUUCACCAUCACUUCAUCCCAGUGGAGGCUGCUUGGGGAGGACAGCUCAUAAUAAUGUCUAGAAUGGAGUGUAAUCACUGGAAUGGGGUGGCAGGUAGCCUAGCGGCUAAGAGAGCUGAGCCAGUCAUUGAUAGGUUGCUGUUUGAAUCCCAGAGUCAACUACACUACCAUUCAAAAGUUUAUUUAGAAAUGUCCUUGUUUUUGAAUUGAAACACAUUUUUUGUCCAUUAAAUUGAUCCAAAAUGCAGUGUA